UGAGAGGAUGAAAGAGGUAAGUGUACCUGGACAGGACUUUACAAACACCUGUAUACACACACACACAAGUCAUUUAGACAUAAGUUAUAGUUAAACAGUGAGAGAGUAAGAAAGAGGUGAGAUCUUUUAUAGUAUAGAACCUUGUGCAAAGAACAGUGGAAUAUCACAUGAAAUACAACAGAAACUUGGGAUUUCCUUUAAACUGGGUACAACAAGAAAUUCCAUCCAGGGAAUCAAAGAGUAGCAGGAAAAAUAAAAACAAGAACAACUUCAACAACAAAACCAAAUUUACUAUGAUGGCAAUGAACAUUUGUUUUGUGCAGAGUAUCUUUGUGCUGUUUGGAUUGGUUCAUUUUGCUUCUGCAGAUGAAAUAAAAUGUGCAGCCACAGAGUUUGUAACAUUACAUGAUAAACCUAAAACAACAGAUAGUUCAAAUGUAAAAUUCUCUAGUUCAUUGAUACCAAUGGAAAGUGUCUGCCCAAUUCCUAAUUAUUGUUUCAAUGUAUCUGGGAAUAAUAGUCUUAUUGGAUCAGUGCAGACGGGAAACGUGCUGGAGUUGGAUAAAGAAUCAGGCAAAGAAAGGAAGGUGGUCCAUAUUAAGUGUAAAGACAACAUUGACAAAAUCUGCUGCAUAAAGCUUUCAUUUACGUAUGAAAAUACCUUUAAACCAAAAUUUGAGAAGCCUAGCUACACUCAUAAUGUUAAUGAGUCAGAACCAAUUGGUUUUUCUGUCUUCGAUAUUUCACAACAUAUAACAGAUGAAGAUAAAUGGUCAACCCCAACCUUGCCCAAAUCCAAGUACAAGUUAGAUAUUGAGCCUUCAGAAAUAAACGAUAUGUUUGUAAGUGAUGAAAACGGAAUUAUUAAACUGAACAAACUCUUGGAUUAUGACAACGGAACUAGGAAGUAUACAAUCAACAUAACUUUUGAGGAUUGCGGAAGGUAUGUUCAGUGUCCUGACCCCUUCACAACAAAUACACUUUUGUAUAUAAAUGUUCAAAAUUCUAAUGAUGAAGGUGUGAAAUUCAAUAACAAAAUCUACUUUGCUCAAGUCAAAGAGUAUACCAAAACUGGGGAAGUUGGGAUAUUUCCACAACCAGAUGUUACAGAUCUGGAGGUAGGCAGUACUGAAGAUGUUGUCUAUAUGCUUGAGGAUGCAUUACCAACAUCGUUCUUUGACUAUUUUCGUUUUGACAAUGUGGCUAGAAAACUGGUCAUCGAAAAGGCAGUGUCAAGGAAAGACCAUCAAAACUUCACAGUAACAUUGAAGGCUUUCAAGAAGAAUAGAGAGAAAGAUACAUUUGAUAAAAGUCUCCUGUUAGUUAAUAUUCUGAGAGGCAACAGUUAUCCACCUCUUAUCAUAAACACACCUUCUGAGGUAAACAUCACUGAAGUUUUGCCUAUAAACUCCCCUGUGGUGCUUGUGCAGUCCCAUGACAAGGAUAAUGAUGAAUUAACAUACCAUUUCGUAGGACAGCAUCCAAUGUUUCAAAUUCACAAAGAGUCAGGUCUAGUAACUCUGAGUCAACCUGUUCAGCAAAAGCUUGCAACUUUCCCUGUGACUCUCCAGGUUUAUGCCGAGGAAAACAACACAAAUGAGAGAUAUCAAAGUCAUAUACAUAAUAUAGUUGUGAAUGUUGUUGAUGAAAACACACACAAUCCUGUGUUUGCAAACAAAUCAUAUCUAUACAAUAUUCCUUUGACAACCAAGGCUGGACAGCCCUUUGCUACAAUAAGAGCUACAGAUGAGGACAAAAGUAUAAAUGGCAAAGUAACUUAUGAGAUAAUUCCUAAGAAUGUCCCCUUCAAAAUUGAUUCAGUGUCUGGCGAUCUUUCUGUCUUUGGUACCUUGCAAACAGGCAGUUACAACUUUACUGUCAUUGGCCAUGAUGGAGCAACUAAUCCAAGAUCCUCUGUUGUUAUGGUUACAGUGAGUGUAACAUCAGCCAAUCGGAAGCCAACAUUUUCCAGUCUCACACCCAAAACGCUUGAAAUACUUGAGACAACUGCACCUGAAACUAUAUUAACAACAAUAUUGGCCACAGACCCAGAUGAUGAUAAGCUGACAUUCCAGGUAGUGUCUACUGCAGACUAUUUUGACAUAGUGCCUUCACCUGACAAGGUCAGUCAUGUCUUAAGACUGAAGAAAUGGCUCAAUGAAUCCACCUUGAAUUCUAUAUAUGUCAGCAUAACCGUAUCAGAUAACAUUGAAACUGCCACGACUGGCAUCAAUAUCACAAUAAUCCCUGUGAAUAGCUAUGUACCUGUAUUUGAUCACCUGAUUUACACAUUUUCCAUUAAUGAAAAUGACAUAAUCAACACUUCAGUUGGUAAAGUAUUGGCCACUGACAAAGAUGGAGAUGCAGUCGAAUAUUACCUGCCAGGUGACAAAUACUUCAACAUUGAUGCUGGGUCAGGAAUCAUAACAAUAAAACAGAAACUUAACAAACCAACCAAAUAUUGUUUUGUGGUCCAAGCAUUUGACAGUAACAAGCAGCAUUAUGGUGUGGCACAAGUUGUAGUUGAUGUGAAAGACAGCAACAAUAAAAAACCAAAGUUUGAAAAAGAUUCAAUUCAAAUAACAGUGCAGGAAGACAAGAUGUGUGGUGAGCCCAUAUACACACCAAAGGCAACUGAUGAUGAUAUUUCCCCAGAGAACCAAGCCAAUGUCUAUUCUACAAACGAUCCCCAUUUUGUAAUAAGCAAUGGCUCUCUGUAUCUGAAGAAUUCUUCCUGCAAAAAUGAAACCUUUCUGGAAAGAAGAAUAAGUCUUGUUAUCACAGCUUCCAACAAAAAUAAUAUGAAUAUGACUGGCACCAUGAAAGUAGAAAUAUAUUUUAAGGAUAUUAAUAACCACAUUCCAGAAUUUGAGACUGUUCCAAGUUCUUUAAGUGUAGAUGAAAGUACACCUGUUGGGUCUUCUUUGUACAGGGUCUCUGUAAAAGACAAAGAUAUCGCUGAUAUCAACCGUUUAACCAGGUUUUCUAUCAAGGACCAAAAUCCCAACAUGGACAAGAUCCGCAUUGAUCCUCUCACAGGUGUCUUGUAUUUGAAUAAACCACUGGAUUAUGAUAAUCCUAGCCAAGACAGAAAUAUCACUUUUAAAGUGGUGGCUGAAAAUAUUGUAGACAAUGUUGGCGUUGGGUCUAAUCAGAAUUUUGUAAACUUGGCUGUUGUUACCGUGGAUGAAGAUGACAUCCCAUUGCAGUUUGAGAAUGAUACCUAUGUUGCAAAUAUUAAUGAAGAUUUACCUCCAAAUACUGUAAUUUUCGAAGUGAAGGCUACGAAAGGUGCACAAUAUUCUAUUGAUGAUACAAAGUUACCUUUCAGGAUAAACUCAACUGGACAUCUGACACUACAUUAUGCAUUACAUCACAAUAGUAAGACUUCAUAUGUCUUCCCAAUUGAAGCCAGAAAUAAGAAUGAAAAGAGAACUGCAACAGCUGUGAUUACCAUAAACAAUGUUAAUGACGCACCAACCAUUCACGAGCCACUUGAGUUUACUAUCUCUAAAAAUUUGCCUGCUCGUUCGAUAAUUGGACACAUAUUUGCAACCGAUCCAGACAACGAUGCCUUAAUUUACCAAUUAAACGAUACAAAUUUCUUCCUGAAUUCUACAACUGGUAAUCUAUACAGUAAGAUGGAGUUUGAUUAUGAAGCAAGAAAAAGCUUACUCAAACCGUUUACCUUUAAUGUGACAGUUAGUGACAAACAUCUCUCUGAUACCAAACAGAUUACUGUAGCAGUAAACAAUGGUACAGAACCCUUUUUUUCAAAGACACUGUACAGUGUAAAGCUUCCAGGAAAGAACAUCACACCAAAUCAAUUUGUGACUUCGGUUCCAGCAUCUAAUCCUGAUAAAUCGAGAACACUUACAUAUAAAAUAUAUGGUGACAAUCGUUUUGAGAUUCAGAAUAAUGGUAAUGUGAUUAUAAACAGCAAUUUCCAAGUCAAACCAAUAAAAGACAAGGUUAUAUCUUUGAUGAUUGUUGCUGACAAUGGAUUCUACAAAAGUGCUGCGUUGCUGAUGGUAGAGGUUAUAAAACCGUUUGAGUUUGUCAAAAGCCAUUUUAAUUUGUUUGUGAAGCAAAAUACAUCAGUUGGGACUGACAUAUUCCAACUUUCACCAAAUCUAAUGGUUGACACACAUGUUGAUAUAUCCAAUUUAACAGUGACACUAUCAAACAGUGUUGUUAAUUACAACAGUACAUGUAGAUGUAUAAUCACCAGUGACGUACUCGAUAAACAAAUAUAUAAUGUCACACUCAGCUUCAGUCAAAAUAGUAGCCAUUCCUCCACUCAACUCAUUAUCCAUGUGCUACCUGUGAAUAGUCAUCAUCCCAAAAUCUGGCUCCAGAAGGAUGAGGUUGAUGUAUUAGAUAAUGUGUCACCUGGUUACGUGGUGAGCAAUGUAACAGCAAAUGAUACUGAUUUCAUCCCAGGAUUUACAUUUUACCUGACUGAGACAUAUAACAAAUUUCACAUUGAUUCCAGCAAUGGCACUUUAACAGUUACAAACAGUUUGAACUAUCUACUUGGGCCUUCAUACAGUUUGGCUAUUUAUGUCCAAGAUCAUGGCUCUCCUCCUCUGAUAUCACAGAAAAACCUUACCAUUAAAGUUAUCAACAGCAAUAAAUUUUCACCUCAGUUUCAAAAUCUUCAGACAAAUAUAACAAUCAAUGAAAAUUCAAACAGCAAGAAUAUUUUCCAAGUAACUGCUAAUGAUGGUGACUCUGAUAAUGUGACUUAUGCCAUAACCAAAGGAAACUUAAACCAAGCAUUUGAAAUAGACAAUGUCACUGGAGUUGUAAGUGUUAAAAAUAGUAAAGAACUUGACUUUGAAAAUGUCAAAAAAUUUGAGCUCACUAUAGUGGCAACUGACAAUGCAAAGAAUCCUCAGUCAACAUCGGAAGUCGUGACAAUUUAUUUGUUAGAUAUGAAUGACAAUUCACCAAGAUUCCAAUCUCUAAGUUAUUUUGCAAGAAAUCUUCCCAUUGCGCCAAAUCAGGAAGUGUUUGAAGUCAAUGCUGUUGAUCAUGACAGCUCCAGAAAUAACAACAAUGUCAUCACUUACUCCGUGCUGAAUUACGUUGACCUAUUCAAUAUCAAUAAUGUCACAGGAAAGGUGACCAGUAAGAAGAACUUGACUGAUCGCAUGACCUAUUUUAUAGUUGUCCAGGCCUGUGAUGGAGGACAGCUUUGUACCAGCCAUACAGUUCAACUCCUAACAAGUUCCAGCAUACCGCUUAUUGCGUAUGUUAAAGAAAAUGUCUCGGAUGCUUUUGUCGUGAAUGUGAAUGCUUCAAGGACAUUGAAUGUUACUUAUUAUUUGAAAACCUGCAGUGAUCUUUUCACCAUUGACAGCAAAUCAGGUAUUCUAAGGACGAAAUUGCCACUAAGAUGGGAUCCCAUCCAAAACAAUUUCACCCUGACAGUUGUUGAAGAUUCAUCAAAGAAUUCUUCUGAAAUUACAGUAAUUGUCAUUGUCGAAGACAUCAAUGAUCAUGAUCCAGAGUUUCAGCAGCCAUCAUAUGAAUUCAGUGUUAAGGAAAACAGUAUCAAGACAUUUUUUGUGAAAGCUACAGAUGCUGACAGUUUGCUGCAUGGUAACAUAACUUAUAACCUGAGGCCAUUCACUCUCAAAGAGGGAAGCGUUACCAUUGAACCCUUCACUGGAAGACUAAACGUCUCCGGCCUUGAUAUGGAAGAGAGCUCCAAACACAGUCUUGAAGUUGUGGCUAACGACAAUGGCAACCCAGCAAGGCAAUCCACAGUCACCGUUUCCAUUAGAGUUGAAGACCAAAAUGACAAUCGGCCUGUUUUCGGGACAAGUAGCCGAGCGUUUUCUGUCAAAGAAAAUGACAGUCCUAAUCUAUUUGUUACCAGGGUCACGGCCACUGAUGCUGACUCAGGAUCUAAUGGUCAGGUCUUCUACACGCUAGUCAACAGUUCUUUACCAUUUACUAUUAAUCCUACAACUGGCGAUUUAUACACCAUUCAUAGUCUUGACUAUGAAACAAAUACAAUGUACACCAUAGAAAUCCUUGCCAGCGAUUUGGGUGAACCACAGCUCAACAACACCCACACCAUAACUGUCAAUGUCACUGAUGUCUGUGAUGACCAAAUACAGCUUAGACCAACUGUCUACAUCGCCAAUAACAUUGCAGUAGAUCGUACAAUGUUGGCUUUUGCCAGCUCUGCAAGUGAAACCGCCUUCACACUAGCAAAAGAUCAGGGCAUCUUCAGUAUUGAUGAGUCCAGUGGAGGAGUGAGCAUCUCAUCAGGCUUCCCCAGUCAACCCAACAGUUACAAUAUAACAGUGACGGCUCAAAAUAGGUGCAAUAUAACAGUAGAAGAAGAGGUAACCAUCAAAUUAUAUAAUGCUCCAAAGAUCGGUUCUGGAAGUGUAAUAGAAAUUGAAGUUUUAGAAGAGACAGUCAGCAAUAGAAGCCUUUUCAAUUUCUCUUCCCUUGAAGAAUUUCAAGGGCCUAAUGUCGAGUUCCAGCUCACAAACUAUAAAGAAUAUUUCUAUAUCAAAGAUGAACAACUGAUGCUUAAAAAACCAAUUGAUAGGGAAAAUAAACCAACCGUAACCCUUAUUGUGGAUGUUGUUAAGUCAACUCGAGUGAAAAGAUCGGUUGCCAGCAACAACAACAACAACAUUGUUAAAACUCUUAAAAUAGUUGUGAAGGUCAAAGAUUCCAAUGACAACAGUCCACAAUUCUCAACAGAUACACUCUACUUUGGAAUCCCAAUUUCUGCCUCACAAUUCUUUGAAAUUGGUACAAUACAGGCUGAAGAUAAAGAUGCUGGGGAGAAUUCGGUUUCAGUCUAUAGUUUAACAGGUAAAGAUAAGGAUCAAUUCUACAUGAACCCUUCAACCGGCAAUCUCCAUAAUCUGUUUGUCCCAGCAGCUGUUACACAAAAAGAGUAUACGGUUACUGUAGUAGCUGUCGACAAAGCAGAGUCUACUAAAAAUGAUACAGUCAUUGUAAUGAUGGCAAUCUACAGUGAUGAGUUUAGCUUAAUUCUCACUGUAAAUGCAACUGAUGAUAAAGUCCAAGAAAAUAGACAAGAAAUUAUCAGGAAUCUGAGUAAGCUUCUAGAUUUACAGAUUGUUAUAGAUCAUAUCCAGGUGCAUAUAGACAGAAAGAAUCGAGCAGAUGUUAACAGGACAGACAUUUUAUUUCAUGCAGUCAAUAAGGAUACAAUGAAAGUCAUCUCAAAAGAAGAGCUUGAACAAAAAUUAGAAGAAAAUGAGGAAGAGAUUUCCAGUCUUCUGAAGAGACUUAAGCUAAAUAUGAUGUCAUUCAAAGAAGUAGAAAGUAUUCCUGUUCGUCAGGAAACCAAACACGGCUUUGAUAAAAACCUGAUUAUCAUUAUUGUUUUGAUCAUCAUAAUUCUAAUUAUACCCAUCUCUACUGUAAUUCUCUUUGUUAUCAUAUCAAAAAGAUACAAGAAUAAAUUUGAUGAACUCCAAUCAUUGCUCUUUAAUCAAUCAAAUAUUAACGAGGGAUAUGAAAAAAGUGAAAUAGGAAUAUCUGACCAUUUUGAGUCUUCUAAGGAAUCAGAGUCAGAUGACACCACAUCGACCCAAGAGGUCAUCAGGAAGCACCACAACCAGAACAGCUGAAGCAGCAAGAACAACCUCAUUUGAAUUCAACAUUGUCCUAAACCCCCACUUUCAACCACAUCUCUAGAUGAAUUGUAAAGGACAAGCUUUGAAAGGAACAGCAACAACAGCAGUGGUCAUGUGAGUGGAAGCAGUUUUGAUACAGAAGCUUCCCUCUAUAAUUCUGUGCCUCUGCCUGAGACAACCAACAGAAACCAGGAAACAC
rnacentral:misc_RNA from 1 species